GCACGAUCCGUUCUUGACUGCUUUACCCAGGGUGGAGUGCAGCUGAUGUGCAGCUGGUAGCGUCAGCUGUCGAUGGACACACCGACUGUUGGACAGUGCCCGUGAUGUCCUGGUGUUAAGAAUUUGGGAUUGUAAAGUUAAUGCGAUGGGAAUCUGGAUACCCCUUGACUUGCCUGCCAUCAACAAGCUUCUGGAGAAGUAAAUAGCAUCACUUCUUCCCAGGUAAGAAUUCUCGGUGGGCAGCUCUC
rnacentral:lncRNA from 1 species